UACGUAGGUGGCGAGCGUUGUCCGGAUUUACUGGGUGUAAAGGGCGUGUAGGCGGGGAUGUAAGUCAGAUGUGAAAUUCCAUGGCUCAACUGUGGGGCUGCAUCUGAAACUAUGUCUCUUGAGUGCUGGAGAGGAAAGCGGAAUUCCUAGUGUAGCGGUGAAAUGCGUAGAUAUUAGGAGGAACACCAGUGGCGAAGGCGGCUUUCUGGACAGUAACUGACGCUGAGGCGCGAAAGCGUGGGGAGCAAACAGG
rnacentral:rRNA from 1 species